rfam:Triticum aestivum genome assembly, contig: Triticum_aestivum_CS42_TGACv1_scaffold_129987_2BL
AACAUACUCCCUCUGUCCGAAAAUACUUGUCAUCAAAAUGGAUAAAAAGGGACGUAUCUAAAACUAAAAUAUGUCUAGAUACAUCUCCUUUUGUUCAUUUUGAUGACAACUAUUUCCGGACGGAGGGAGUACAUG